CCAUAUAGACCUUACACUCUUACUUAAGACAAGAGAGAAUAUGUGAAUGUUUUUGUAACAUAGCUUGCCCUAUGGCCUGGAGAGCCUGGGACAAAGCCAGUCCUGAUUACAGGACGAGCCCCACCUGAGCAGAACCAGGUGAUUCCAAUACAAAAGGAGCAAGAAGUUGCAGUGAAGGGGGAAAACCCAGGAAACUUCAGCUAUGUCUGGAGGGAAUAAGAAGACUCCUACAGGACCCUGAGUCAGCAGGGGAGAAGCUCAGGAAGCAGGAGCUAGUGAAGAAAGCUCCAGGCAAGGAGUCUCUAAGGUGCCACAAGUACUCCUUUUCUUCAGAAAAAGGACACGGUCCCAAGAUCAGAGCUGAUUGACUUCAACACCCUGCCAAUUAUACUGUUCAGAAGCUGGAGUCCCUGGAUGACGACCUGUUCCUGAAUGGCCCGCAGGAAAAGUUCAUCUACCUUGUUGGGAGUGGAGAACCAGGAAGCAGCAGGAACAAAUUAACUCUUACAAAUGAUCCAGAUUUACAAUCCAGCAAUAACCAGAUUAAUAUCAGAAGCACAGGCAACCUCUUCAAGAAACCCAGAAGGAAUUUGCUUGGCAAUUAAUCUAUCCACUUCUGUGGUUAGACUGUAUUUUCUUCUCCUCUAUCUCUCCUUCACAUGGAUGUGUCCAAGAUACAUUAUCUAAGAAGGAAACAUUUCUAUAACACCUUUCAUCUGAAGAUUUCAAAUUGUGGUAGAAAUAUUCCUUAAGCCUCACAAGACCAUAUGAGACAG